GUAGGGUGCAUUUCCUUCAAAUGAACAUUCCAGUUUACUUACUGAAUUGCUUUCUUUGUGAUCAGAAAUAACUAUUUCCAAUGGUAUUGAGCGAAGCAAGAACCAGACUCAUACACUUUUUGUGUUAAGAGGCGCAAUGGCAUAAAAAGAGAAUCAGGAACUUCAGAAGUAAAUACUUUACCAUUUAUAAGGUAACAGGAACAGGCAUGAGCAUUCUCAUUUGUAGACGACGAGAAGAGGACCUGGAGUUUAAGCCACUUUCAAGACCACGCUACUCCUUAGGGGCAGAACCAGGAAUUCAAGCCAGAUCAUCUCAUUCCCAGACUGCUAGAAUUCGUGCUGAUAAGCAACCUGGAGGGAAGCAAACGUGGAUGAGAACAGAGGAGGGGAAGAGGGGAAUCAGCAAGACAGGAUAAAGCGGAGAAUUCCUAGAACCUUUUUCAGAUAACAGAGAAUUCUCCACUGCCCAGAGACCUGCAUGAAAAGAAGUUCUUCCGGUUGAAGGGAAAUGCUACCAGACGUAAAGUCAAAUCUACGUAAAGAAAUGACGUACACCAAAAAUGAUGAUCCGUGGAUUCAAACCAGGCAAGACAAGUAGACUCUGUCCAGAGACUAAGAGCAGUUUUCAAAUCCCAGAGGAUGAACAGCAAGGCAAGAACCCAUAAAGACCUCCUUGGA
rnacentral:lncRNA from 1 species